GAUGAACGCUGGCGGCGUGCCUAAUACAUGCAAGUCGAGCGAACGGACGAGAAGCUUGCUUCUCUGAUGUUAGCGGCGGACGGGUGAGUAACACGUGGGUAACCUACCUAUAAGACUGGGAUAACUUCGGGAAACCGGAGCUAAUACCGGAUAAUAUUUUGAACCGCAUGGUUCAAAAGUGAAAGACGGUCUUGCUGUCACUUAUAGAUGGAUCCGCGCUGCAUUAGCUAGUUGGUAAGGUAACGGCUUACCAAGGCAACGAUGCAUAGCCGACCUGAGAGGGUGAUAGGCCACACGGGAAGUGAGACACGGUCCAGACUACUACGGGAGGCAGCAGUAGGGAAUCUUCCGCAAUGGGCGAAAGCAUGACGGAGCAACGCGGCGUGAGUGAUGAAGGUCUUCGGAUCGUAAAACUCUGUUAUUAGGGAAGAACAUAUGUGUAAGUAACUGUGCACAUCUUGACGGUACCUAAUCAGAAAGCCACGGCUAACUACGUG
rnacentral:rRNA from 1 species